rnacentral:rRNA from 1 species
CCUACGGGUGGCAGCAGUGGGGAAUAUUGCGCAAUGGGCGAAAGCCUGACGCAGCGACGCCGCGUGCGGGAUGAAGGUCUUCGGAUCGUAAAGCUCUGUCAGCAGGGAAGAACGGUCACUGUGCUAAUCAGCAGUGAAUUGACGGUACCUGCAAAGGAAGCACCGGCUAACUCCGUGCCAGCAGCCGCGGUAAUACGGAGGGUGCGAGCGUUAAUCGGAAUUAUUGGGCGUAAAGCGCUCGUAGGCGGUAUGUCAAGUCAAGGGUGAAAUCCCCGCGCGCAACGUGGGAACUGCCUUUGAAACUUGCAAACUGGAGUUAGUGAGAGGAUAGUGGAAUUCCAGGUGUAGGAGUGAAAUCCGUAGAUAUCUGGAGGAACAUCAGUGGCGAAGGCGACUAUCUGGCACAUAACUGACGCUGAGGGGCGAAAGCGUGGGUAGCAAACAGGAUUAGAUACCCUUGUAGUC